UGACACUGUGGAGAAUACGAACAAUGCACGUUUAAAGGUAGAAAUAACAAACAAAUAAACAAAAUAAAAAUAAAAAAAACACUGCACAUAUUUAAAAAUUACUUAAACAUUGAAGAUAUAAAUUUCCAGCGACGUCAUCUCUGGGCAAAAAUAUAUUUAAAUUCAUUUUCGUACGUACAGCUAAUAAACACAAGUAAUGAACUGAUAUGUCAAGUAAAUUUUGAACAUUUAGUAAAAAAAAACAAAAUAUAUUACUUUACUUUUAACACUAUGUAUUCUAUAAAAGUUAAAUAUUUUUAUGCAAAUUUUAACAUUGUACAAAUAAUGUGUUGCAGUUUUCGCGCUCCGACGCGGAUUUCUAUUUGCCGCUUUAGUUUCGUUUUCUCAAACGUCUGCUCAUCACUAAACUCUCGUAUUCUUUGUUGAUUUUUCUACACAUUUGAAUGCUAUAGCUUUCUCUUGAAAAUCGGUACUUUACACUAUUCUUAUGUAGUGGUUUUGUUCUUUCGCACAUUUGCAAUUUACCUGCUGACAUAAAAGGAAGGACUCAAGGCUAUAAUAACAACAAUGCAUUGCAUACAAAUGUACAAUGCUCAUCUUCAGUUGUUGGCAAAAGUAUGGAAUCAAGGAGAGUGGAGAGUUUGGUUUUGUAGGUGUAAAUUGAUGAUUAAGAGAAGUAAGUUUUCAAGUGCUCAACAAUUAAAAUCACCGUUCACAGUCAGAAUGGUUUUAACAAUAUACACAGUGUAUGCUCAUUACUCUUGACAAUAUGUAUAUUUGCUUCCAAAACUGAUACAGUUCUUAAAUUAUGAUAUACAACUGCUUGUAUGUGUGAAGUGUUUUUUUUUGCUGGCCUAAACCGAAGCGUAAGAUCAGUGUACUGGAAAAAUUCUCAAAUUCUUUAAAUAUUUUACUUUUAAUUUUUUGUAACGUAAAAAUUAAUCACACAACACUACGUUCACCUGCGGACUCCUAUGUCGCUCAUUAUCAGCAAAUUCUCUAUUGGUGUAUCUUAUUGCGUUCCCACGAGCGAUACGGGUCCAACAACUUGAGUCGGAAAAUUUUCUGCAAUUUAUUUCAUACCACAUACUCAAAUUCAUGUACGCGUCAUAUUCGCUGUGCCCCAACACAUUAUAACUAAGCUCAAACAAUUAUUUGUUGUUGCAGUUGAUUUUUCCAUUUUGUGCUUAAAUUACCUAAAAUAUUAGCCACAUCAGUUUCCUCCUGGUCAGAGCGGCCCGCCACACGGUAGUUGGGUGACGUUUCUGAGUCGCGCGAAGUGUCUUCGUCCACUUGCGUCUUACUGCUUGAACGACUAUUCAUAUCACUGUUAUGAGAAAAUGUAUCUCUAUAUCAUUAUUACGAGUAAAUUUGAAAACAGCAAUUGAUAUGACAUACCCAGGAAAUCGAUUAGCGCCAUUUGGCCGAAAAGCAUUGCCUUUCUGAUUAAGAUGGCGCGAGCACAAACCACGUCGCUGAGAUUCCUUCGAGCACAUACCGCAUAGGCGACGCCAUUGUUUGCCAUUGUAUUUUUUGCGCACUCCGGAUUCCGACUGAACAAUAUCACCUUUUUUGAAACGAUGCGGCGUUGUUCCUUGAGAUCUGCAAACGAAUAAGUAUAGUUGUUAAAAUACUAAAAUUUAUUAACUGGCACUAUCCGUGGCGUUACCUUGGGGUGCUUGAUGUGCUGCCGCGGCUCUGUACACUGCUACGCUUGCUGCCCGCCGAUAGCUUCUCGGGAUCACCAUCGCCAAGUGUGUAACCAUCUAUUUGCACACCCUUUAAUUCAUCAUCCGACUCGAAUUCAUCAUAUUGCCGUGACUGGCGCCGCUGUAGAUCAUCUGAUGGUGAAUGUGAGUGUUGAUGGCUGUUGCUGCUGCUGCUGCCGCCGCCCAACUGCAAUUGCUGUUGAGAAACAACAAUUUCGGGUAGCGACGUUGCGGCAUUGUUGCCGUUGCCGUUGCCGUUAAUCUUGCCAAUCGUUCCCGCAUUGUGGGCGUUCACAAGCAAUGGCUGCCCACUGCCACCUACAGUUUGGAAGGGUGAGGUGGCAGUCGUCCGGUAAAACUCUUCUUGCUUUUGCAGAUGCUGUUGUGCGACACUAUAUGAAGUCAUGUGUGCGGGCAGCUGUUGUGAGCCGGCUACCGUAAGAUGUGUCGGAAUUUUGCUGUCAUAACGUGUAGCCACAUAACUCAAUUGUGGAUGAUGGUGACCGACAAUGGUUUUGUGUGUCGCUGACCCUGAAGUACCGCUGCCACCGGCAGUGCGCUGAUGUGGAGAUGUGAGCAGCGAUGGGUGUGCACCGCUCGCCUUAUGUGCGCCAAAAACAUGUGUGUGGUGCUGAUGUGGAAAAGGUGAAAGUUCACGCAAUUCGUCCCACCAUGGCGGUAGCAGCAGACGCAAAUCUGCCCGUUUAACAGUUUUAAACUAUAAUUGUAGUUAUACAAUAUAAAUUGCCUUACUUACUAUUGGCGUCGAAUCUGUGUGAAUUUGAACGGUGAACUGUUUUGUGUUUGCAUUGAUGUCCGUAACCGUGCCCUCCACAAAGACGUAACCCGAACGACCUUCUAUCUGACUGCGCACACAAACUCGAGUGUCCACAUUAAUCUAAUGAAAUAAGAAGAGCAAAGAAUAUUUUAAUUACACCACUGAUUUGAUUUGAUUUGGCUUGUCAUUCAAUGUAUAGUAGGUCUAAUUCAUUGCUGAAAACAACUUGCUUGUGCGCUUCGACUUACAUCAGCUAAUGGUGGACUAGCGUCCAAUAUCACAUUGAAACGCCCAUUGCCCAAAACGUCCGAAUAGCGUUGUGUGCAAUUUUCCGGCGGAUCGAAUUCGACUGUAAUUGAAUUCGGUGUAGCAGCUGAAGGCGGUCUGCUGUUAGCAUCUGCGCCACUGCAACUGCCAUUGUACGAUGUCGUCUGUCGUAUAAUACCCGAUGCAUAGAAGUUAUUUAAUUUGGCCAAUACGCGCGUAUUCGACCAUUCGCUGAGAUCCAAAUUAGCAACUAGCGGCGGCUGCUGCUGAUGCUGUUGCUGGCUGGUAACCACUGGCUGUGGUUGUUGUAAAUGCUGCUGAUAGCUGUGUCGUUGUUGUUGCAACGUAGUAUUGCUGGUAGAAGUUAGAGUGCGAUUAUUGCCGGUGCUGUGAGUCACACUUAACACAUUUUGCAGCUUGUAAUUACUCGACGGCUGUGUGCUGGAGACAAAUUUUAAAAUUAAACAAAAUAUAUAUUAUUAUAAUAAAAAAGUUGU